rnacentral:rRNA from 1 species
AUUGAACGCUGGCGGCAUGCCUUACACAUGCAAGUCGAACGGCAGCACGGGUGCUUGCACCUGGUGGCGAGUGGCGAACGGGUGAGUAAUACAUCGGAACAUACCUUAUCGUGGGGGAUAACGCAGCGAAAGCUGUGCUAAUACCGCAUACGCCCUGAGCGGGAAAGCGGGGGAUCGAAAGACCUCGCGCGAUUAGAGCGGCCGAUGCCUGAUUAGCUUGUUGGUGGGGUAAAAGCCCACCAAGGCGACGAUCAGUAGCUGGUCUGAGAGGACGAUCAGCCACACUGGGACUGAGACACGGCCCAGACUCCUACGGGAGGCAGCAGUGGGGAAUUUUGGACAAUGGGGGCAACCCUGAUCCAGCAAUGCCGCGUGAGUGAAGAAGGCCUUCGGGUUGUAAAGCUCUUUUGUCAGGGAAGAAACACCGGCUCUAACACAGUCCGGGAAUGACGGUACCUGAAGAAUAAGCACCGGCUAACUACGUGCCAGCCGCCGCAGUAA